GCUUCCGCGCGCACCACCGCCGCAACCCACCCCUCCUCGGCUGUUUCGUCAAGGAUUUUCGGUACGUCCACUUCCAGCCUGCCCUGGAUCCCCCCAAUAGCAUUUCGCAAGGCCACUUCUCCUUCCCGAUCCCCGCCGGCAACCGCUUCCUGCCCCUCGGAUGCCGCCAUGGCCUCCUACUCAUCUUCGACCGCCCUGUGGGUAAGCAGCCGCAACUCUUGGUGUGGGACCCCGUAACCGGCGACCAACAUCACCUAAACAUCCCCGCUGGGUUCGACAUGGGGAAAGCCUCAAUCGGCGCAGCUGUGUUUCGUGCUCCCGGAGACGACAUCUGUCAUUUCCAGGUGGUCUUGGUAGGCAACAGCGACAUUCAAAGCACACAAGCGGUCGCCUCUGUUUACUCGUCGGUGACCGGCGUAUGGGGGAAUCUCGUCUCAACAGCGCUGCCGUCCAAGGAUUCUGGUUUUCCCACCAUGAUUCACAUGGGCGUGCCUGCUGCGAUGGUUGGUGGUUCCUUUUAUUGGUUGCUUAAUGGGGAUUCACAAGGAAUUCUUGCAUUUGAUUUGGAUAGGCGGAGCCUAUCUUGCAUACCUAUGCCAGUGGAAGACACUAAUGGCACAGGCACUGCAAUAUUUGGGUUAUGCGGGCAGAGGGUGGUGGCCUUGGUUUCCUCUUACUGAGAGGCUUUUGUGCCGAACUGUGGUAGUGGAAGACCGAUUGCAAGGGUGUUUCUUCAUGGGUGCUGGGAAGAAGUAUUGAUCUGGACAAGCUACUUCCCCUUGAUUUAGAGAUGGGGAGAAAGUGGCCAUUGAUAGUAGGGUUCGCCGAGGACAAUAAUGUGAUGUUGCUGUGGACGUCUGUCGGCGUCUUCACGGUUCAGUUUGAAUCAUUGCAAUUCAAGAAAGUUUUUGAAUCCAACCCCUGGUAUCGCUUUUAUCCAUUCGAAGGUGUCUAUACUGCAGACGGGGUCAUUGGUGGUGGACAUUAUGGAGCUAAACUUUUGCGCAAUACUUAAUCUGAUUUGUCCGGAUAGGCAUGCGAACGUGAUGUAAUGAUUGAGCAGGUACCAAGGGUUAUUUGCUGUAUGUUCUUCAAUUCUGUAUGGUGUGCAUGGGUCCUGUGAUGUGCACAUCACAAGGGAAUUUACCUUCUAUACAUCAUGCCCAGGUCAAAUGUGAUGUGCACAUGUAGAGAUUAACAAUUGCAACAGGGAAUUGAUCUCUUAAGCAGUGAACUUCCGUCUAUUAUGUGAUUUCUGUACACAUUAUGUGGUUUCGCUGUCAGGGCUGAAGAGAAAUUUGACUUCUUCGGUUAAUGCCAAAGUGUUGGCCAUGUCACACUCUGAAUCUUGCAG